UACAGAGGGUGCAAGCGUUGUUCGGAAUUAUUGGGCGUAAAGGGCGCGUAGGCGGUGCGGUAAGUCUGCAGUGAAAUCUCUGGGCUCAACUCAGAGUCUGCUGUAGAAACUGCCGUGCUUGAGUGUGGGAGAGGUGAGUGGAAUUUCCGGUGGAGCGGUGAAAUGCGUAGAGAUCGGAAAGAACACCAACGGCGAAAGCACUCUGCUGGGCCGACACUGACACUGAGAGACGAAAGCUAGGGGAGCGAAUGGG
rnacentral:rRNA from 1 species